UAACACAUGCAAGUCGAACGAGCGAGAGAGAGCUUGCUUUCUCGAGCGAGUGGCGAACGGGUGAGUAACGCGUGAGGAACCUGCCUCAAAGAGGGGGACAACAGUUGGAAACGACUGCUAAUGCCGCAUAAGCCCACGACCCGGCAUCGGGUAGAGGGAAAAGGAGCAAUCCGCUUUGAGAUGGCCUCGCGUCCGAUUAGCUAGUUGGUGAGGUAACGGCCACCAAGGCGACGAUCGGUAGCCGGACUGAGAGGUUGAACGGCCACAUUGGGACUGAGACACGGCCCAGACUCCUACGGGAGGCAGCAGUGGGGAAUAUUGCACAAUGGGGGAAACCCUGAUGCAGCGACGCCGCGUGGAGGAAGAAGGUCUUCGGAUUGUAAACUCCUGUUGUUGAGGAAGAUAAUGACGGUACUCAACAAGGAAGUGACGGCUAACUACGUGCCAGCAGCCGCGGUAAAACGUAGGUCACAAGCGUUGUCCGGAAUUACUGGGUGUAAAGGGAGCGCAGGCGGGAAGACAAGUUGGAAGUGAAAUCCAUGGGCUCAACCCAUGAACUGCUUUCAAAACUGUUUUUCCUGAGUAGUGCAGAGGUAGGCGGAAUUCCCGGUGUAGCGGUGGAAUGCGUAGAUAUCGGGAGGAACACCAGUGGCGAAGGCGGCCUACUGGGCACCAACUGACGCUGAGGCUCGAAAGUGUGGUAGCAAACAGGAUUAGAUACCCUGGUAGUCCACACUGUAAACGAUGAUUACUAGGUGUUGGAGGAUUGACCCCUUCAGUGCCGCAGUUAACACAAUAAGUAAUCCACCUGGGGAGUACGACCGCAAGGUUGCAACUCAAAUGAAUUGACGGCGCGGCGCG
rnacentral:rRNA from 1 species